GUAAGGAAUAUUGGUCAAUGGGGGCAACCCUGAACCAGCCAUGCCGCGUGAAGGAUGAAGGCGUUAUGCGUUGUAAACUUCUUUUGUAUGGGAAGAAUGACAGGGAUUUAUCCUUGGAGAGACGGUACCAUACGAAUAAGCACCGGCUAACUACGUGCCAGCAGCCGCGGUAAUACGUAGGGUGCAGGCGUUAAUCGGAAUUACUGGGCGUAAAGCGUGCGCAGGCGGACUGUUAAGACAGGUGUGAAAUCCCCGAGCUCAACUUGGGAAUUGCGCUUGUAACUGGCAGGCUAGAGUGUGGCAGAGGGGGGUGGAAUUCCACGUGUAGCAGUGAAAUGCGUAGAUAUGUGGAGGAACACCGAUGGCGAAGGCAGCCCCCUGGGUUAACACUGACGCUCAGGCACGAAAGCGUGGGGAGCAAACAGGAUUAGAAACCCUGGUAGUCC
rnacentral:rRNA from 1 species